UCGUACGUUCGUUCGUUCGCAUGUACGGGGUUCGCGUGUUUUUCAUAUUUUAAUCUUUAUCGUACGUGCUAUUUAGUAUGAUUCGUUUGUUCGUUCGUCCGUUCGUUCGUUCACGUCGGUUCGUCGUGUUUAUUCGCACGGUUCGCCCGUUCCUUCCGUUCGAUCUCCGCCGAUCGCAGCCGUCGCCGAACAAUUCCGUGUUUACGAUGUGCUCCGGUGGAGGUGCCGCGCGAUUAUACCGACCGAGUGUUUCGCUAUAACGACCGUGUCUGUUCUCCUUCGCCGUGAUGCAUCGUUCAAGCUGGUGCCAGUGUUCCUUCGCAUCCGCGGUUCCUGUUCCGUCGAUCGCUCCUUCCGCGCCCUGAUCUCAUCUUGCGUCGAUCUUGCGCGCCCGGGGACCCGGGAUCGUCUACUCAAAUCGUCGUGUGUGCUCUCUCCUCUCCGACGGAGUCAUCGUUCCCGCCGCUCUUUUCUCUGUAGAGUGCUCUCCUCGUUCUCUUUCUCUCUACGCCAGUGACGUACUUGCGUGCGACCGACUCUCCGCAAUUCUCUGUGAGCCCCGACGACGACCCCGGAUGAAGAUCCAGCAGUGUGAAAAAAAAAAAAAACGUUUUCUGUCUCUCUCACCAAAGUGAACACCGCGCCGCGAUGUUUCGAGAUGUUAUAACCUCGAAAAUAACGGACCUAUUAAUAAGGGGAUAAUAAGUGCGCGGCGGACGCUCUUGCGUGUGAACUUGAAGAUAGCGAAGAAAGGCCAAGAGAAAGAAAGGAGAAGAAAGAGAGAGAGAGAGAGCGGAGCGGAGCGGCCGACGUUGCAGCAAAUGAUCGCGAGGUGAGGCGGGAUCGGAAAAGGAGAGGAUCUUUCUCGGGCACCCCGGGUCGACACUCGACGCCUUUGGAUGGGAACAACGGCGGGAAGAAGCGAACAAGGAAGCGGCUGCACGCGGAGGGUAUUGAAGGAAGCGCGUCUGGCCGCGUAAAAAAGGAUCGGCGGGAAUAAAGGAGGGAGGGAAGAGAAAAGAGAGAUACCAUUCGUCGUGAUCUUCCCGUCGGAUGUGUGUGUAUGCGUAGAUCGCAGCGGAAGCGGCGACACAAAGAAGAGGCGGCGAAAGAAGAGGAAAAAGAGACGGGAGUUUCGACGGUUCUACGAGCAAUGUCUACGCAUGUGUACGGUGCCGCGUGACAGUGCACGUGGACGCGUGUGAUAGUGCCGCGGUGCAAGUGCGACAAGCGAAAGAAGACGCACAAGAGAAGGAAAACAACGAAGAGCGGGGGUAAACAAACGAAGUGCGACAAAGGAAGAGAA